rnacentral:rRNA from 1 species
UACGUAGGGUGCAAGCGUUAAUCGGAAUUACUGGGCGUAAAGCGUGCGCAGGCGGUUAUGUAAGACAGUUGUGAAAUCCCCGGGCUCAACCUGGGAACUGCAUCUGUGACUGCAUAGCUAGAGUACGGUAGAGGGGGAUGGAAUUCCGCGUGUAGCAGUGAAAUGCGUAGAGAUGCGGAGGAACACCGAUGGCGAAGGCAGCCCCCUGGGUCGACACUGACGCUCAGGCACGAAAGCGUGGGGAGCAAACAGG